AUACGUAGGUGGCAAGCGUUGUCCGGAAUUAUUGGGCGUAAAGCGCAUGUAGGCGGUUUGGUAAGUCAGUUGUGAAAGCGCUGGGCUUAACCGAGGAUUGGCAUCGGAAAUUGUGAAUCUGGAGUGCAGAAGGGGAAAGGGGAACUCCAGGGGUAGCGGUGGAAUGGGUAGUUAUAUGGAAGAACACCAGUGGCGAAGGCGGCUCUCUGGUCUGUAACUGACGCUGAGGCUCGAAAGCAUGGGUAGCGAACAGGAUUAGAUACCCUGGUAGUCCAUGCUGUAAACGAUGAGUGCUAAGUGUUGGGAGGUUUCCGCCUCUCAGUGCUGCAGCUAACGCAUUAAGCACUCCGCCUGGGGAGUACGACCGCAAGGUCAAAACUCAAAGGAAUUGACGGGG
rnacentral:rRNA from 1 species